rnacentral:rRNA from 1 species
AGCGAACGCUAGCGGCGGGCCUAACACAUGCAAGUCGAGCGGAGGGGCAACCCUCAGCGGCGAACGGGUGAGUAACACGUAGGUAAUGUACCCUCUGGUGGGGAAUAACCGUGGGAAACCAUGGCUAAUACCGCAUAUGUCUUUCGAGAUGAAAGCAGCAAUGCGCCAGAGGAGCAGCCUGCGGCCGAUUAUUUAGUCCUAGUUGGUGAGGUAAUGGCUCACCAAGGGUACGAUCGGUAGCUGGUCUGAGAGGAUGAUCAGCCACACUGGAACUGAGACACGGUCCAGACUCCUACGGGAGGCAGCAGUGGGGAAGUAUUGCGCAAUGGGCGAAAGCCUGACGCAGCCACGCCGCGUGAGUGAUGAAGGCC